rnacentral:rRNA from 1 species
GUAAGGAAUAUUGGACAAUGGACGCAAGUCUGAUCCAGCCAUGCCGCGUGAAGGAUUAAGGUCCUCUGGAUUGUAAACUUCUUUUAUAAGGGACGAAAAAAGGCUUUUCUAAGUCGUCUGACGGUACCUUAUGAAUAAGCACCGGCUAACUCCGUGCCAGCAGCCGCGGUAAUACGGAGGGUGCACGCGUUAUCCGGAUUCACUGGGUUUAAAGGGUGCGUAGGCGGGCAGGUAAGUCAGUGGUGAAAUCCUAGAGCUUAACUCUAGAACUGCCAUUGAUACUAUCUGUCUGGAAGAUUGUGGGGGUAAGCGGAAUAUGUCAUGUAGCGGAGAGAUGCUUAGAAAUGACAUAGAACUCCUAUUGCGAAGGCAGCUUACUACGCAUAUAUUGACGCUGAGGCACGAAAGCGUGGGGAUCAAACAGGAUUAGAAACCCGUGUAGUCC